AUUGAACGCUGGCGGCAGGCCUAACACAUGCAAGUCGAACGAGUAGAGGACUGGUGAGUAAUGGCGGGGCAAGUGGCUGAAGGAGGGGGAUAACUACUGGAAAAGGUAGCUAAUACCGCUACCCAUGGGAUGUGCCCUGAUGGGAUGAGCGAGUAGGUGGGGUAAAGGCUCACCUAGGCGACGAUCCCGAGCGUGUCUGAGAGGAUGACCGGCCACACGGGAACGGAGACACGGUCCAGACUCCUACGGGAGGAAGCAGUGGGGAAUAUUGCACAAUGGGCGCAAGCCUGACGCAGCCAUGCCGCGUGGGUGAAGAAGGCCUUCGGGUUGUAAAGUACUUUCAGCGGUGAGGCGUUACCCGCAGAAGAAGCACCGGCUAACUACGUGCCAGCAGCCGCGGUAAUAC
rnacentral:rRNA from 1 species